UACGUAGGGGGCAAGCGUUGUCCGGAAUCAUUGGGCGUAAAGAGCGCGUAGGCGGUCCGGUAAGUCCGCUGUGAAAGUCAAGGGCUCAACCCUUGAAUGCCGGUGGAUACUGUCGGGCUAGAGUCCGGAAGAGGCGAGUGGAAUUCCUGGUGUAGCGGUGAAAUGCGCAGAUAUCAGGAGGAACACCAAUGGCGAAGGCAGCUCGCUGGGACGGUACUGACGCUGAGACGCGAAAGCGUGGGGAGCAAACAGG
rnacentral:rRNA from 1 species